rnacentral:rRNA from 1 species
CGAGUUUUGAUCCUGGCUCAGGAUGAACGCUAGCUACAGGCCUAACACAUGCAAGUCGAGGGGCAUCGGGGAGGGAAGCUUGCUUCCCUUGCCGGCGACCGGCGCACGGGUGAGUAACGCGUAUCGAACCUGCCCCAUACCCGGGGGAUAGCCUUGCGAAAGUAAGAUUAAUACCCGAUGGUUUCCUUUUGCCUCCUGACAAAAAGGAAUAAAGAACUUCGGUAUGGGAUGGCGAUGCGUCCGAUUAGCUGGUUGGCGGGGUAACGGCCCCACCAAGGCGACGAUCGGUAGGGGUUCUGAGAGGAAGGUCCCCCACAUUGGAACUGAGACACGGUCCA